rnacentral:rRNA from 1 species
ACAUACGACCAUAUCACGUUGAAUGCACCGGUUCUCGUCCGAUUACCCAAGUUAAACAACAUCGAGUCUAGUGAGUAUUUAGAUGAGUGACUGCUUGGGAAACUUAGGUACUGUUAGCG